rnacentral:rRNA from 1 species
UACGAAGGGGGCGAGCGUUGUUCGGAUUUACUGGGCGUAAAGAGUGUGUAGGCGGCCAUACAGGUCCGUUGUGAAAACUGGAGGCUUAACCUCCAGACGUCGAUGGAAACCGUAUGGCUAGAGUCCGGAAGAGGAGAGUGGAAUCCUGGUGUAGCGGUGAAAUGCGCAGAUAUCAGGAAGAACACCCGUGGCGAAGGCGGCUCUCUGGGACGGUACUGACGCUGAGACGCGAAAGCGUGGGGAGCGAACAGG